AUUGAACGUUGGCGGCAGGCCUAAAACAUGCAAGUCGAACGGUAACAGCGGGAGCUUGCUCCCGGCUGACGAGUGGCGGACGGGUGAGUAACACGUAGGAAUCUGCCCAGUAGUGGGGGACAACCCGGGGAAACCCGGGCUAAUACCGCAUACGCUCUACUGAGGAAAGCGGGGGAUCUUCGGACCUCGCGCUAUUGGAGGAGCCUGCGUCGGAUUAGCUAGUUGGUGGGGUAAAGGCCUACCAAGGCGACGAUCCGUAGCUGGUCUGAGAGGACGAUCAGCCACACUGGAACUGAGACACGGUCCAGACUCCUACGGGAGGCAG
rnacentral:rRNA from 1 species